CACAAAUGAGGGGCCCUUUUGGAUUAUAAUCCACAUUCUAAUUUCUAGUGAGUCAUCCUUCCUUACUAUGACACAUAAUACAAACAGAAUGUAAGGACUCAUCCUUCAGCUAAUGCAUUGUUUAGAAACUUAGUAAGUGAAUAAAAGCACGUGGCCACGAGGACACAAGAAUAUCUAAGCGCUGCAGAAACAGCCACACAAUUUGUUCCUUGAUUUAUUGCAUCUUUGGCAGGCAAUGCUCUGAGCUUUCAUGCAUAUAUGGGCAAUUGGGGCAUCUGUGAUGAAGUGCUGUUGACAGAAGUAUGGCCCGCGGUAACAUGAUUGCUAUAAUAAGGAACCAUGAAGAGCCUUUCGCCUCUAGCCAUGAUUCUGAGAACUUCCCAGCCAUGUGGAACUAGCCAUGUACAAGUAUAUUUUUUCAUUACAAAUAAUUCAAGAAAAAGAAACCAUUGAAGAUAAAUGAAACAUUGUAUUACAUUUUAUGCCAGCUGAGAUUGAAGGCAAUCAACACAUUCAUUUCAAAUUGAUAUUUUCAGAGUGCUGGAAAGAACCAUGUAAGGUACUUGCCCUAACUCCAGUCACGGGAGUUGUACUCAGAUGUACUCAGAAGUUGUUCAGACACAAUGCAAGGAGCCUGGUCACCAUGGUCUCCUGUCACCAUGGAAGAUGGGGCUAGCCCCAUGGCUACAAGAGAAGAUUUUUGAUGUUCAUAACACAAAGAAAUAAUAAAUGAGGAGACACGUGUUAAUUAUCCUGAUUUCAGUAUUACACACUGUAUACAUGUAUCAAAAUAUCACUCUGUAUGCUGUAUUUUGCCAAAAAAAUUGUUUAAAAAGAAGCCAGUUUAACUAGAAAUAUGAAGUAACUAUUGAAUUGUUCUAUUUACAAUGAAAUAAAUUGUAAUCACGCAGGAAAAAUUUCCUUAGAACAAACUAUAGUGAUAAAUAAAUUUAUUUCACAUUUUAAUUUUAAUGCCUUUUAUUUUUAUAGAACGUUAAAAUGUCUAAAGUAGGGCUACAUACAUUAUUUCAUUGAUUGUUACAUUUCAAUUGUUGAAAAACUGAUUACCUAAUAUUUUGCAAGUGAAUGGAUUGUGUCCAUAUAGGAUUCUAACAUGAUCCAGGGAUUCAGGAAAGGCUUUUCUUGAGACAUUAGUUCUGAAGAAUACAUACAAAUCCAUCAUUUAGUGGGAGAGUGCACUGGAUGGGAUGGGGAGCAACUCUGAAAGAAGGAACAUUUGCAGAAAUUGAGAUAAAAAUGACCAUAGAGCUUAUGAGAAAUUGAAAGAAAACUGUUAUGACUAAAAGGAAAAGAAUUAAGGAGAAAAGUCACCACAAAAAGAAGUGACAUGGGUUUUCAGGACAGCACACAGGGUCUUGUGGGCCAGGUUAAGGAAGUGAGCCUUAAUCCUAAGAGCAACAGAAGACACUAAAAAGUGUAAAGCAAGGGUAUUAUCUGGUUAUAUGGGUGUCUCUCAAAGGUCCAUCUCAUUAAAGUGCAGAAAACAUAUUAUGGGCAAUAAGAGGAAGGCAACACAAAGCCAGACAGAAAAUGUUUAAGAGGAUAUUUCUGGGAAGAGAUGAUUAUGUAUUUGGCUAGAAUCCUGGUGCUGGAUGUAAAGAGAAGUAGAGAAAUGGAGAUUUCGGAAGUAAGAUCAAUAGGUGAGGGGAAAAUGGUAUGUGCGGGAAAAGAGGGGUAGAAGGUAAAUUCUAGGUUAUCAGUGGAAACAACAGGGGAUGGCAGAACCACUCCCUGCAAAGACAUCUCUGCAGAGAGCAUACUUAUGGAGAAAAGUUCGCUGAAGUUUAAUUUUGGAAAUGUUAACCUUGAGGUGCCUGCAAGGCAUCAUAGCAGAGGUGUCAAGCAGGCAGCUUAGAAAUAGCACAUGAUGUUCACAAAAAAGGUUUGGUCUGCAUUUUAAAAGCUUUGUAGAGAGAAUUAGGUUCCUUACUUCAUUUUUAAGAACAUAAAAUACGGAAGUACUGAUUUCUUUUCAGAUGGAAUGCAGCAGUUCAGCUCCCAGAAGGGAAAUGUGGUCAAUAUUUAUGCUGGCUUCUUGCCAGUGCUAUUAACUGGUGAGGUGUCCAAUUCUCUGUGGAAAGGUAUUUUUUUGGAACCAGAUGAUUUUCUUUUUCUGUCUUAUAAUUUCUUUGCCUAGCAUACAUUCUCAUAUUUUCUGUGGUUUUAAAGUUGUUUCCUGAUGAGGGAACAUUAAUAUGUACUAGGGAAAUGUUUCAUUAAACAAAGUUAAAAUUGAUUUUCAUGUUGCAAGACAUCUUGGAGUCACCAUUACUCUAAUAUGUGAGGGCGACCAUGUAAUAACACAUUUUCCAAAUAUUUAAACACCAAACACUUUCUCCAAGAUUAUCUCUGACAACUAGUGUUUUAUACAUUAUUCUUUGGGCAAAUAUUUGUUAAACAGUAGCCUUGCUUGGAGCAGUAUCUUUUAUUCAAUAGUUUUAUCCUGGUUCAAAAACCCAGCCUGGCCUUAAUGCCCCUUUCCCAAGAAAUUUAAUACAAUUUUCCUGUACAUAAAAUGCUCAUUUUCUUUCCUGGAUGUUAAAACUGAAGCAAACCGGAUGUUCCACUUAUAACUCUGUGGCAGUAGUCAUGUGGGAGAAGUUUAUCAUCUGUGUAGGUCACUGUCAUCUUUCAUUCUUGUGGUAGCAUUGGGUCUAUGUGAAGGUGUGUUCGGAGGUAGGAUUAAAGCAGUGGCCAGGAGAAGGAUGAACAGUACUUAGUCUAGUUUUUCAGAUUGUGAUCAACUCUACGUAGAACCACAGUAGUGUGCAGAAAUGUAGUUAAGGAUAGGGAGGGGAAAGAGUUCGCAUCUUACUUUAUUUACUGCUUCUAUCAUUAUCCAAAUUAAUACCCUUAUUGCCUAAGAUUCUGAACAUAGUAAUCCAUAUAUAAAACUUCUGAUCUCAACCUAUAUUCUGAAAAAUGAUACCAAUCAAAACACCGAAUUCCACUUGUAAAAACAAUUUAUUUUAUACUUUCCUGCCGCUGGUGGUUUACAGUUUCUCCAUUCAUACGCCUUUAAGGUAUAAUACAAUGAAUAUACAAGAGAUCUCUUUAUAUUACAGACCUCUUUAUAUUAGGUUGGUGCAAAAGUAAUUGUGAUAACCUAAUAAUAACUUUAUGUUUUUCUCCUCAGUGAUGAAAAAUGUAUGCAUGCCCAGAAUUCUAGAGAUAUAAAUUAAAAGCAACAACUUGUAAAUUAAAAUAAUGGCCCUGGUGAUGACACUGAUCAAAAUAAAAAGAAAAAUUCAGAGCAGAAAUACAAGAACUAACUCAGAGCAAUUUUAGAAUGGCUACUAAUAUUAAUGUUAUUUUAUGUUAGAUAUUAUUAUAGGUACAAAAUGUCAUCAAGACAUUAGUACAAAAGCGACUAAGUAUUACAUUAAAUAUUCAUUUAAUUGCGGGCAAAGUAUUCUGCACAAUGCUUUGGAAUAUAAUAAAAGGUAGUUAUCAUCAUUUCCUACUUAACCCUUCUAAUUCAAUCUAACACAAUUGGCCCACAAAUCAUUUUAUAAUCUUCAGUAAAGAAUGAACAAAAUUUCAUUAGCCAGGAUAAAAAAAAUCAAGGUAAGUUUAAACUAUUACAGACGUGAGAUACAAAUUUCUCCUUCUGUGUCUCCUUCAUUUGCUAAAAACUGAAAUUGGCAUCAUUGUAUGUGUAAAAAACUAUAGAUACUUUUACAAUACAAAUGGAAAAAAAAAGAAAGAAAAAUCCCUGAGCUCUUCCAUAGCACUUGCUUCAGAGAAUCUUUGUAACUACUGGCUCUA